CACCUCGAGCUCCUCCACUCCUGCUCGGGCUCCUCCGUCCACGUGACCUGCCUGGCCUGGGGCUUCGCCCCGCCCCCUCUGCGCCUCCAUUGGCUGCUGGGCUCCGAGCCCCUCCCCCUGGCCCCGCCCCCCGCCCUGCAGGGGCCCAAUCGGGACGGGACCUUCGUCCUGAUUGGUCGGCUGAACGUGAGCCUCGACCAAUGGGAGCGCGAGGAGCUGAGCUGCAGCGUGAGCCACCCGGGGACUGGAGCCAGGGUGACGGUGCCGGCUGGGAGGUGUCGGGGUGCCCCUAUAGACCCCACCUCCAUCCAAGUCUUCGUCCUCCCCCCGACCCCAUUGGACCUAUAUGUGUCCCAGACCCCACAAGUCCUUUGUAUGGCCAUAAACCUGCCUAGCGACGAGGGCCUGGCCAUGACCUGGACCAAGGGUCACGGCCAUCCCAUAAUAUCCGACGGGCCCCAUAUCCAGCCCCAGUUCAAUGGGACCUAUACGGCCACCAGUAAGGCACUGGUGGCUACUGGGGACUGGGAGAGCGGAACUGGGUUCACGUGUAGGGUGGAACAUAGGGACCUGCCUGCCCCCAUCAGCCGCAGCGUGGCCAGGAUGGCAGAGAUGCUCCUCCCCGAUGACCUUUGCCACGGUGACCCCGAGGUGACCUCUGGGUCAUAUGACACCAUCCUCGUCUUCAUCACCCUCUUCCUCCUCAGUGUGUCCUAUAGUGCAACUGUCACCAUAUGGAAGGUCAAUUGGGUCCUGACCUCCCUCCUCCACCCCAAGCCCCGCCCCCCUCCCCACUACAAUGACGUCAUGAACCACGUGGUCUGAAGAGGAGCUCUCCCAUUGGCUGAUGGAGAGGAAGGCACCAGCCAAUGGGAUUGGGGCUAUGGGGUCUGCUUAUUAUAGGGUCUAUGUAUUAGGGCUAUGGGGCCAUCCCAUAAUAGGGUCUAUGGGCAUUGGGGCUAUGGGGU